CUACGGGACGCUGCAGUGAGGAAUAUUGGUCAAUGGAGGCAACUCUGAACCAGCCAUGCCGCGUGAAGGAUGACGGCCCUAUGGGUUGUAAACUUCUUUUGAAUAGGAAGAAACUUAUCUACGUGUAGAUAACUGACGGUACUAUUAGAAUAAGGAUCGGCUAACUCCGUGCCAGCAGCCGCGGUAAUACGGAGGAUCCAAGCGUUAUCCGGAUUCAUUGGGUUUAAAGGGUCCGUAGGCGGGUCUUUAAGUCAGUGGUGAAAGCCGACAGCUCAACUGUCGAACUGCCAUUGAUACUGGAGACCUUGAGUACAAAUGAAGUAGGCGGAAUGAGUCAUGUAGCGGUGAAAUGCAUAGAUAUGACUCAGAACACCGAUUGCGAAGGCAGCUUACUAACAUGUAACUGACGCUGAGGGACGAAAGCGUGGGGAGCGAACAGGAUUAGAUACCCCUGUAGUC
rnacentral:rRNA from 1 species